rnacentral:rRNA from 1 species
GACGAACGCUGGCGGCGUGCUUAACACAUGCAAGUCGAACGAAGUGGCGAACGGGUGAGUAACGCGUAAUCAACCUGCCCUUCCUAGGGGGACAACAGUUGGAAACGACUGCUAAUACCUCAUACUGAAGGAGGGGAUUGCUUCUGAUUAGCUAGUUGGAGGGGUAACGGCCCACCACGGCGAUGAUCAGGAGCCGGUCUGAGAGGAUGAACGGCAAAAUUGGGACUGAGACACGGCCAAGACUUCUACGGGAGGCAGCAGGGGGGAAGCUUCCGCAAUGGACGAAAGUCUGACGAAGCAACGCCGCGUGAGUGAUGACGGCCUUCGGGUUGUAAAGCUCUGUUAAUCGGGACGCGGUACCGGAAUAGAAAGCCACGGCUAACUACGUGCCAGCCGCCGCGGUAAUAC